rnacentral:misc_RNA from 1 species
CGCACAUUGCGCCCUUUGGCAUUCCGAAGGGCAUGCCCGUUCGAGCGUCAUUAAAUCCACUCAAGCCUGGCUUGGUAUUGGGCGACGGGGACUCCCCGCGCCUCCAUUUCGCCGGCUGGCCGUCGUUUGACUUAGCGUUGUGACACAUGUCGCUGACGACGAAGACGGACCACGCCGUGAAAACUCUCUUGAGGAUCCAUCGAUUCUCAGUAAAGGUUGACCUCGGAUCGGGUAGGAAUACCCGCUGAACUUAA